UGAAGACAGGUGGUGAGUCGACCAGGCCAAUUCACUACCUGAACACAGGUGGUGAGUCGACCAGGUUAAUAUUCCCAACCUGAACACAGGUGGUGAGUCGACCAGGUUAAUUCACUACCUGAACACAGGUGGUGAGUCGACCAGGUUAAUAUUCCCAACCUGAACACAGGUGGUGAGUCGACCAGGUUAAUAUUCCCAACCUGAACACAGGUGGUGAGUCGACCAGGUUAAUUCACUACCUGAACACAGGUGGUGAGUCGACCAGGUUAAUUCACAACCUGAACUUGCCACAUUGCCUGAGUUAAGAGCUUUCCCCCCCCACCCUUCAACAUGCAUGUAAGACCCUAUUCAUCGCCCACAAAUAAUUAUACACU